GCGCCGACGCCAAUCUUCCGCCAUUCAUACAGCGUAUACGCCAUUUUGUCAUUUUUGCAAGAAAAUGCAAGAGUAGACGAAAUAAGAAAAUGCAAAGAAAUCAUUGCCCUAGAUACUCGUUGCUCUCAAAUGAUGCUGACGACAAAGUGAUUCUGUUUUAUCAAACUGAAAAUCCGAAUUAUAAUGUAAAUUGUGAUCUUCGAAAUUGAGGUUAUGAAAUUGACAUAACUCUAUUUAUAAACAAUAUGAACGACCGCGUUGGAGGAUAUGAAUGCAUUGGAACCUUGACAUGUGUUUUACUGUGUUUCUCAUCACGAUAAUAGAAAAUCUAGUGCUCAAAUUCACAAUCUAAUGAACAUACAGCCAUACAAAAGAUGUCUUAAAGAGGUAUGCCUCCACUGACAAAGUGAAUUAAGUUGCCUACUCGAAAAGCAACUUUGCAAGGAAGCAAGUUUACUACCCACUGAAAUGUUCCCUUGGUACUUGAUGGGAUUAUGGAAUGAAACUGUCAACCAUUACAAUGUGAUAAAGAUAUUCCUGAUGGCUAUGAGUGAUGACUAACUUUCAAAACUACAAGAUGAACCCCUUCCACUUCUAGAAUGUGAAGAAUGCUGCCAUAUUACUGGCCCAUAUGAUCAUCAUGACAACUGUCUACCGUUGUCUACCC